rnacentral:misc_RNA from 1 species
AGUACUCACUAUACCUCCACUGUGCUUGACUUGAUAUCUCAUAACUUCCAUCAGCUUUGGUGCUUACCUCUCCUUCAUUGUGUCCUAACGUAUCUCUUAGCGACUUCAGUAUCCAUUCCUCUGUUUCAACAAUCUCUACUUUCCAAAGACAUAACUUAUGUUUCUUAUCCUAUAGUAUCCUAUGAGAUGUUUUCCUGUAGCACCUAUCAUAGGUAUCUUGU